ACGGAGGGGGUUAGCGUUGUUCGGAAUUACUGGGCGUAAAGCGCACGUAGGCGGAUCAGAAAGUUGGGGGUGAAAUCCCGGGGCUCAACCCCGGAACUGCCUCCAAAACUCCUGGUCUUGAGUUCGAGAGAGGUGAGUGGAAUUCCGAGUGUAGAGGUGAAAUUCGUAGAUAUUCGGAGGAACACCAGUGGCGAAGGCGGCUCACUGGCUCGGAUAACUGACGUGCUGGGGUAGCAAAGUGGUGGGGAGCAAACAGGAUUAGAUACCCCGGGUAGUCC
rnacentral:rRNA from 1 species